CCCGCUGAACUUAAGCAUAUCAAUAAGCGGAGGAAAAGAAACUAACAAGGAUUCCCCUAGUAACUGCGAGUGAAGCGGGAAAAGCUCAAAUUUAAAAUCUGGCAGUCUUUGAUUGUCCGAGUUGUAAUCUGGAGAAGUGCUUUCCGCGCUGGACCGUGUACAAGUCUCUUGGAAUAGAGCGUCAUAGAGGGUGAGAAUCCCGUCUUUGACACGGACUACCGGUGCUUUGUGAUGCGCUUUCAAAGAGUCGAGUUGUUUGGGAAUGCAGCUCAAAAUGGGUGGUAAAUUCCAUCUAAAGCUAAAUAUUGGCGAGAGACCGAUAGCGAACAAGUACCGUGAGGGAAAGAUGAAAAGCACUUUGGAAAGAGAGUUAAACAGUACGUGAAAUUGCUGAAAGGGAAACACUUGAAGUCAGUCGCGUUGUUCAGAACUCAGCCUGGCCUUGGCCUGGUGCAUUUUCUGAAUGACGGGCCAGCAUCAAUUUCGACUGUUGGAUAAAGGUUAGGGAAAUGUGGCUUCUUCGGGAGUGUUAUAGUCCUUGGCUGCAUACGAUGGUUGGGAUUGAGGAACUCAGCAUGCCUUUAUGGUCGGGGUUCGCCCACGUUCAUGCUUAGGAUGCUGGCGUAAUGGCUUUAAAUGACCCGUCUUGAAACACGG
rnacentral:rRNA from 1 species